rnacentral:rRNA from 1 species
AGUGAACGCUGGCGGUAGGCCUAACACAUGCAAGUCGAACGGCAGCACAGUAAGAGCUUGCUCUUACGGGUGGCGAGUGGCGGACGGGUGAGGAAUACAUCGGAAUCUACUUUUUCGUGGGGGAUAACGUGGGGAAACUUACGCUAAUACCGCAUACGACCUACGGGUGAAAGCAGGGGAUCUUCGGACCUUGCGCGAUUGAAUGAGCCGAUGUCUGAUUAGCUAGUUGGCGGGGUAAAGGCCCACCAAGGCGACGAUCCGUAGCUGGUCUGAGAGGAUGAUCAGCCACACUGGAACUGAGACACGGUCCAGACUCCUACGGGAGGCAGCAGUGGGGAAUAUUGGACAAUGGGCGCAAGCCUGAUCCAGCCAUACCGCGUGGGUGAAGAAGGCCUUCGGGUUGUAAAGCCCUUUUGUUGGGAAAGAAAAGCAGCAGGUUAAUACCCCGCUGUUCUGACGGUACCCAAAGAAUAAGCACCGGCUAACUUCGUG